GAAAGGGGAGACGUGUGACGGGGGUUCUUUUUGGUGACACAGAAGCGGGUUCCAGCAUCUAAGUGAAGAGGCUGACUGGAACCCUACAUGGAUGAGAACUUCAUCUCCAGAGCCUUUGCCACCAUGGGGGAGACCGUAAUGAGCGUCAAAAUUAUCCGAAACCGCCUCACUGGGAUCCCAGCUGGCUACUGCUUUGUAGAAUUUGCAGAUUUGGCCACAGCUGAGAAGUGUUUGCAUAAAAUUAAUGGGAAACCCCUUCCAGGAGCCACACCUGUAAGGACAUUUAGAUAAUGAUGAUGUUGCCAUUAUUAUUGUCAUUGCUUACUACCAUCUAUUGAAUCCCUACUGUAUACUUAUUUUAUUUAAUCCUAAAACAACCCUUUACAGUAGGCAUUGUUAUCUUUGUAGGCCCAGGAAACUGAAGCUCAGGGAAUUGAAAUAACUUGUCCAAGGCAACACAGGUAGUAAAUGGCAGAGCCAGGAUUCAGACUGAAGAUUGGUUGCCUCCCAAAUCCAUGCCUUUCCAUUCUGCAUUGCUGCCUCCCAUAACCGAAGACUUGAAACUCUAGACCU
rnacentral:lncRNA from 10 species